UUAAGUUCAGCGGGUAGUCCUACCUGAUCUGAGGUCAAAACAGAUUCGGUGUUUGUCCGAGGACGAUUAUGAGCGGACCCUUUCGCGACCACAGCGCAACACAGUUAUCACGCUGAAGGGGGAAAAAAGGUUUGUUUUUCUCCGCUGAUGCAUUUAAAGAGGAGCCGACCUUCGCCAGCACGCUCCAAAGUCCAAGCCCC
rnacentral:misc_RNA from 1 species